ACAAUUGUACCAUUGAUGUCCUAACACUCUUAAAAUGAUCAAUAAUUUCUCAAAAUGAGGGAGGUGACCAUUCUACAUUGAUCCAGUGCCUUUUUAUGGGAUUCGAAACUGUGACUGUGAGAUGUAUGAGAGUUUGACUUCUAGGCGGGCAAUUCUACUUUCACUUUAAACGGUAAGUUGAAAAGAGCAUGCUGCAUCUUUGAUGUAAAAUAUCUCGAAAAGGAAUCAAGGACCCUAUUGCAAAUUUGGCCUUGUUGGAAAGGUUAGGAAUUUUGCUGAAAGUUGAUAUCUGUCAUUAUACUGGGAAAAUUUUUGUUUUUGAAUUAGGAUGGGUUGAAAAUGGGUAUAUUUUCCUCAUUUUUGUUGCUUUUUUACUUCCAGGAUGGCAGGUGCCUGAGUGUAUCUCGACCCAUUUCCAGGCUAGCAUCAGAUGUCAUGAUGGACCUUUAAAAUCUUUCACAUGUGUACUUUCAAGAACCAUAUACAUUAUUUUUGAAAAUUGGUUGCCAUGGUAAUAAAAUCUGAAAAUUAAAACAUGGGCUUCUGAAGGCGAAUUGUCCUCCAUUUCCUGGUAGUUUGUGACCUUAAGCACAAAUCAGCUUGAAACUUGAAUUUUCCAGGCAAGAAUUUUUUUGUUUAUUGUGUUUAAAUAUGAUGUUUAUGCUUGAAAUAUGAAGUUUAUACUUAAUAUUAUUGAUUUCAUUGAAAUUGAAGGUCAUCGAUUAGUAAAUAUGUCAGAAGUAUUCUUAGCAAUUGGUCGAGUGUGAGUGCAAGACAUUUCUCCUCAGCCAUAAAUUUUCUAUGAAAGUUUUUUGCAAUGCUAAUGAUGGAUGUGUCUGUGUGUGUGUCUGUCUGUCUAUCUGUCUGUGUGUGUGUGUCCGUCUGUCUGUGUGUGUGUGUGUCUGUCUGUGUGUGUGUGUGUCUGUCUGUGUGUGUGUGUGUCUGUCUGUCAGUGUGUGUGUGUCUGUAUGUGUGUGUGCGUGCCUGUCUGUGUGCGUGCGUGCGUGCGUGCAUGCAUGCAUGCAUGUGUACGUGUCUGUCUGUGUGUCUAUGUGUUUGUCUGUGUGACUGACUAUGUGUUUGUGUGUGUGUCUGUCUGUCUGUGUGUGUUUGUCUGUCCGUGUGUGUGUUUGUCUGUGUGUGUUUGUCUGUCUGUAUAUGUAUGUGUGUGUGUCUGUCUAUGUAUGUUUGUCUGUCUGUUUAUACCCGUUCUAUGUGUGUGUUUAUCAGUGAGUGUGUGUGUCUGUCUGUGUGUGUUUGUCUAUGUAUGUGUUGUGUGUAUCUGUCUGUGUGUCUGUCAGGUAGUCAUAGAGAAACAGAUAAAGCUUCAGAAUAUAAAUUUCAAUUUUAUUGAAUUCACUGUAUAUUGCAUAAGGAUCACUAACAUAGGUGUGAUACACUGUACAUCUACUGGAGUACACCGACUUUUCAGAAACUUUUUGAUAUGUCAUCCAUACGCAGCCUGGCAUGAAACCGCUUCUGUUUGUCUAUUUGAAUUACAACAGUGGAUCUACAUAGGCUAGCUUAACUAUGACAUCAUAAUAUAACACGUAAUGUGAUGUCAUAAUAGAGUAAUGACAUCAGCUUUUUUUUUUUUUUUUUUUUUGGCUAGAGUUAUCUUCCUUGACAAAUAUUCUUCUUCAUACAAAGGUCUCUUAUUUUGACUUACGUUUAUUAGAUAAAAGCAUGAUAUCAGGGUCAUUUAUUAAAGAUGUGACGGUUUAGACGAACCAAUUUUUAGGGCAAAUUUCUCAUUGAAAUAAGUUUUUUUGAACUUGAAAAAACAAGACACAGACUCUCCAGGAUUACUCAAGUUAACAUCCUUACUGGCCAUUUCAGGGUUUUUUUUCCCUACAAUUCCUUUUAUUUCACAUCAAAUUUCCUUUACAUACAAUUCUAGUCUUUAUUUGGAAUCAAAAUCACAUGUAUUUCACUCAGUUCUGGGUCUUUUAUUCUAUUUUCAACUUUACCAAGGGGAAGAACUCUGCUGGAAACAGUGAUGGGAAGAGGGCAGUUUUUGUUCACUCAUUUCAAGAUAUAAUUAACAAUAACUCCCCAUGUAUGAUACAUCAUUUUAUUCGGAAAAACUUAAAUUUUUAAACAGUAUAGGUAUUUCAUGAUGUCGUAGAAUUUCCGCAGUCUUUAAAGUCUCAAUAGACCUGGCGAAUUGCCAAUACGAAGCUAAAGUGACCAGGGUUAAAAUGUAAAUAUGUUAAAAGAGUAUUUUAUAGAAUUUAAAUAGUUUCAUUGUUAUUGAUAUCUGUAUUAAUAUAGGGAGGUGACCAUUCUACAUUGAUCCAGUGCCUUUUUAUGGGAUUCGAAACUGUGACUGUGAGAUGUAUGAGAGUUUGACUUCUAGGCGGGCAAUUCUACUUUCACUUUAAACGGUAAGUUGAAAAGAGCAUGCUGCAUCUUUGAUGUAAAAUAUCUCGAAAAGGAAUCAAGGACCCUAUUGCAAAUUUGGCCUUGUUGGAAAGGUUAGGAAUUUUGCUGAAAGUUGAUAUCUGUCAUUAUACUGGGAAAAUUUUUGUUUUUGAAUUAGGAUGGGUUGAAAAUGGGUAUAUUUUCCUCAUUUUUGUUGCUUUUUUACUUCCAGGAUGGCAGGUGCCUGAGUGUAUCUCGACCCAUUUCCAGGCUAGCAUCAGAUGUCAUGAUGGACCUUUAAAAUCUUUCACAUGUGUACUUUCAAGAACCAUAUACACUAUUUUUGAAAAUUGGUUGCCAUGGUAAUAAAAUCUGAAAAUUAAAA